GAUUUGUCUUGUGCUUAACAAGGACAUUUUUCAAAAUCCAGGAAGGGGAAAGGAGGUGACAACAUUUGGAAGGAGUUGAAACUGUUGUCAAUUAGCCAAUGGAAGGAGGAGGAAUAAUUAAAGAUAUGUUAACAUCUGACAGCCUUCAAGGACUCAGAGCGGUUUACAUACAAAAAGGCAAACAUUCACUGCUGUAGUCAAUGAAAAUGCAUAAAUCAAAACAAUACAAAUUAACAUCAAUAGACUUACGUCAACAAGAGAAAAUGGAAAUAAAAGAUAUAAUAAAAUACUAAUAUUUAAAUAAAAC
rnacentral:lncRNA from 11 species